rnacentral:rRNA from 1 species
GAUGAACGCUAGCGGCAGGCUUAACACAUGCAAGCCGAGGGGUAGAAGUCUUCGGACUUUGAGACCGGCGCACGGGUGCAUAACGCGUAUGCAAUCUACCUUUUACAGAGGGAUAGCCCAGAGAAAUUUGGAUUAAUACCUCAUAGUAUUACGAAAUGGCAUCAUUUUGUAAUUAAAGUCACAACGGUAAAAGAUGAGCA